rnacentral:rRNA from 1 species
UACGAAGGGGGCUAGCGUUGCUCGGAAUCACUGGGCGUAAAGGGUGCGUAGGCGGGUCUUUAAGUCAGGGGUGAAAUCCUGGAGCUCAACUCCAGAACUGCCUUUGAUACUGAAGAUCUUGAGUUCGGGAGAGGUGAGUGGAACUGCGAGUGUAGAGGUGAAAUUCGUAGAUAUUCGCAAGAACACCGGUGGCGAAGGCGGCAUCCUGGACCGAUACUGACGCUGAGGAGCGAAAGCCAGGGGAGCAAACGGG